AUUGAACGCUGGCGGCAGGCCUAACACAUGCAAGUCGAACGAGUGGCGGACGGGUGAGUAAUGUGUGGGAAACUGCCUGUUGGAGGGGGAUAACUACUGGAAAAGGUAGCUAAUACCGCCUACCCUCGGAUGUGCCCAGAUGGGAUUGGCUAGUAGGUGGGGUAACGGCUCACCUAGGCGACGAUCCCUAGCUGGUCUGAGAGGCGGACCAGCCACACUGGAAUUGGGACACGGUCCAGACUCCUACGGGAGGCAGCGGUGGGAAGUAUUGCACAAUGGGCGCAAGCCUAAGGCAGACCUGCCGCGUGUAUGAAGAGGGCCUUCGGGUGGUAAAGUACUUUCAGCGGGGAGGCGGUACCCGCAGAAGAAGCACCGGCUAACUCCGUGCCAGCAGCCGCGGUAAUAC
rnacentral:rRNA from 1 species